rnacentral:rRNA from 1 species
GAUGAACGCUGGCGGCGUGCCUAAUACAUGCAAGUCGAGCGAACAGAUGAGGAGCUUGCUCCUCUGACGUUAGCGGCGGACGGGUGAGUAACACGUGGAUAACCUACCUAUAAGACUGGGAUAACUUCGGGAAACCGGCGCUAAUACCGGAUAAUAUAUUGAACCGCAUGGUUCAAUAGUGAAAGACGGUUUUGCUGUCACUUAUAGAUGGAUCCGCGCCGCAUUAGCUAGUUGGUAAGGUAACGGCUUACCAAGGCAACGAUGCGUAGCCGACCUGAGAGGGUGAUCGGCCACACUGGAACUGAGACACGGUCCAGACUCCUACGGGAGGCAGCAGUAGGGAAUCUUCCGCAAUGGGCGAAAGCCUGACGGAGCAACGCCGUGUGAGUGAUGAAGGUCUUCGGAUCGUAAAACUCUGUUAUUAGGGAAGAACAAAUGUGUAAGUAACUAUGCACGUCUUGACGGUACCUAAUCAGAAAGCCACGGCUAACUACGUG